GUCCACGCCGUAAACGAUGGGCACUAGGCGUCGGGGGGAGCGACCCUCCCGGUGCCGUCGCUAACGCAAUGAGUGCCCCGCCUGGGGAGUACGGCCGCAAGGUUGAAACUCAAAGGAAUUGACGGGGGCCCGCACAAGCGGUGGAGCAUGUGGUUUAAUUCGAUGCAACGCGAAGAACCUUACCUGGGCUUGACAUGCACGGGAAAGCUCGUGGAAACACGGGCCCUCCUCACGGACUCGUGCACAGGUGCUGCAUGGCUGUCGU
rnacentral:rRNA from 1 species